GAAGCGGGAAGCCGGCGCCGAGCCAGGCCCCUCAUCAGUCGCCUGUGACGUCCAGGAAAGAGAGGAGGCCGAGCAUGUUCGAGAAGGAAGCAAUCGAGACCUGGCUGCUCCACUUCCAAUCCAGUUCUCUUCUAUGGCCUGGGAAAGCAGUAGAGGAUGGCCCAAGUCCUUGGGCCCCUGCACCUGCGUGGGAGACCCAAAGAAGCUCCUGGCUCCUGGCUUCAGAUUGGUGCACCUCCGGCCAUUGCAGCUAAUUGGGGAGUGAACCAUCGGAUGGAAGACCUUUCUCUCUCUCUCUCUCUCUCUCUCUCUCUCUCUCUCUGCCUCUCCUUUCUCUGUGUAACUCUGACUUUCAAAUAAAUAAAGAAAUAUUUUUUUAAAAAGCAUAAAGGGACACUAAAGUAGUUAUGGUAAAAGUUACUGUGUCAGUUUUCAUCAAAUCAAAGCAGUUAUGAUUUCAUUCAGUUUAUUUAAAACUGUAAAAGGCUGGGCAUGUUAAAUCCAAAUUGAACUUCUGUAGAUGAAAACUACUAUGUCAGAGAUGAAAAUGUACUGAAUGAAAUUAACAGCAGAUUAAACACUGCAGAGGAAAAAAUUAGUGGGGUCAGAGACUUAGAGGAAAUAGAGACAUUGAGCAGUAGAAGAACUUCAAGUGGACUAAUGUAAUUUGAGCCACCAAAUGAGAAAAAACGAGGAGGGGACAGACAAUAUUUGAAGUAGAACUGUGGAUACAAAAUUCCCAAAUUUAUUGGAAACUAUAAAGUAUAAAUCAAUGAAACUCAGUAAGCCAGUUCAAGAAACAUGAAGAAAAUUAUGCCAAGACAUACUUGAAGCCAGUGAUUUAAAAACUAAAGGACAACUAGAAAAAAAAAUUACGUACAGAGAAAAAAAAAGGAAUCAGAUUUCUUCUCCAAACAGCACAAGAGAGAAAACACAGAGGCAUCAUCUUUACUGAACGAGAAGUCUUCAACCUAGGAUAUUAGAGCGCCUGGAUUCAGUACCCAGCUGUUAAUCACUCCAGCUUCCUGCUAAUGCACACCCUGGAAAUGGUGAUGGUACAGGUGUGAUCAGGUUCCUGUAUCCCACUUGGGAAUCUUGGAUUGAGUUCCCAGCUCCUGGCUUUGAUUCUCAGCAGGGGCCUUUGAGGCAUUAGAACCAGAUAUGGCAGGAAUAUUAUAAUUAUCAUGAUACUUAAAGCUGAUUACUUUGUUGAGGACUACAGUUGAUAAAAAUAAAUAACAUGCAAAAGUAGAUGAGCAAUGUAGGAAAAAUGGAAGAACAAGAUGAAAUAGUACAACUAAAAAAUACUAACAUAAAUGAAGUAUGAUUUUGGUAGGCUUAACUUACUAGACUGGAUAGACUAGAGGAAGGAACCUUUGAGCUUUAGGAGGUAGUAAUACAAAAUGCCAAGACUGUAAAGCAAGAAGAAAGACUGAAAAAAAAUCCAAAAAACUAUAAAAGAUGAAAAUUGCUGUUAAUGGAAAUAUUAGGGGAAUAAAGAAAGGGAUAGAUAACAUAGUUUAAGUGGUAAUGACAGAAUUUUUCCAAAAAUUAAUAUCAGACACCAUUCCCACAGAUCCAGGAAGAUCAGGACACAGAGCAGGAAAUGUGCCAAAAUAAAACAAGAAACACAUGUAGGCAUGUCAUUUUUAAAUUAUACAAGUCAUAAGUAGAUUACAUACCAGGAAAAAUUAUCCUUUGAGUAGGGACAUGAAGACACUCAGAUGAAAAUUGAGAGAAUUACUAGUAAACCUGACCUGCAAUGAAUGUUGGUAGAAGUUCAUUAAAUAGAAGGGAAAUAAUAUAGAUCAGAAAUUUCAAUCUACCUGAAGAAAGGAGAGUCAUCAAAAAAUGAAUGAAUGAAAAUAAAAUACUUUAUUUCCCUAUUCUUGAUAUAACAGAUAACUUUAAAAUCAUAAUAGCCACCAAAGAAAAACAGCAGUGUACAAACACAUAAUUCAUUUUAAGAAAUGGUGAGCUGCUGUGGCACAGCAUUCUAUAUGAGUGCCCAUUCCAGGUCUAGAUGUUCCAUGUGCCAUUGAACUCCCUGCUACUGUGCCAGGGAGAGCAGUGGAAGAUGGCCCAAAUGCUUGAGACCCUGUACCCACAUGGGAAAUCCAAAUGGAGUUCCAGGCUCCUGACUUUGGCCUGACCCAACCCCAGGGAAGCUCCUGGCUCCUGGCUUCAAUCAGGUGGUUGUAGCCAUUUGGGAGUGGAUCAGCGGAUGGAAUAUCUUUUUCUUUCAGUUUUUUUCAUGGCUUUUUCAGGUCUAGGGGUUAUUUUUUUUUUUUAAUUUUAUCUAAGUUAUACAAGUUUCAUGUAUUUCAUAUAUGCAGAUUUAGGAACAUAGUGAUACUCCUCCCCCCUUCCCUCCUGCCCAUGCUCCAUCCCUUUCUCCUCCCUCUCACAUUGAUGGAGGACCUUUCUCUCUGUCUUUCCCUCUCUGCGGCUCUACCUCUGAAAUAAAUAAAUAAUUUUUUUUUUAAAGCAAACAGGAAUAACUAUAGCAAAUGAAAUAGACUUUAAGUCACAAACUAGAAAAAGAGAAGGUCACUGUAUAAUGAUAAAGGCAUCAAUUCAACAAAAGAUUAUACCAGUUGUAAAUGUGUAUGUAGUCAAUGUUGGAUAUUAUUGGAUCUAAAAAAAUAUAUAGGCUCUAAUAUAGUAGUUGGGGAUUUCAGUGUUCCACUUUCCAUCAGAAGAUGGAUCAGACAAAAGAUGAACAAAGAAAGCUCAUAGUUAAAUAUACUAUAACCAAAAUACUGGCCCCCAUAAUUUCCCUUUUUUAAAUUAAUUUGCCAUUCUUGCCUAACUUCUCUUGCAAAUUUUUGGGUUUCUGUGUCUUACUUAAAACAGUGUUGAAUCUAUGCCUAAAUGUUUUGUCUUCUGAGCUUAAAGCAUUUGCUAAGAUUUCUUGGGUUGUCACACUUUUAUAAAGUAUAAUUGUAUAAACCAAGAUAAAAACAUUUACCUGUUUUCUACUGAAUUUCUCCAAAGUUCGAAAAGUACCUUAAAGUAGCUACAGUUAAAAUUCUAUAUAUCUUUCAUAAUGUUUUUCUGUUAAGUUAGAUAUGCUAAUGGACUAUUUCAAAAUAUAAGUGAAGAAAACCAAUAUGUAAAGGAGAGAGAAAUGUAAAGGAAGUUAUAAGCAUGAGAAUAUGUAGUUCUGUGGGGCAUGAGGGAUGUGUUGGUAGGGGGAAAAGCAAGUAAUAUUUGUCCUAAAGUAAAAUAACUGGUUGUAUGUAAGUGAAAAGAGGAACAGUAAUAUAAGAAUGAUGUAGAAGCUUUGUGGGAGAUGACUCUUUUGUGCAGUUAGGUUGGCUGAGAUUAGAAGGAAAAUUGUUUACAGUUUUCUAAAAACUGAGCAUUAACAUUAAAGUUACACUAACAUGAAACUAGAAUUUGAUCCGAUAAAUUAAAGUAACAAGGUAACAAGGCUUUCUAAUAAAAAGUUUAUAAGAAGUUCUAAUCUUUUAAAUUUCAACAUCUGGGGGCUGGCGCUGUGGCGUGGCAGGUAAAGCCUCCAUUUGCAGUGCCAGCAUCCCAUAAUAGAUGCCAGUUCAAGUCCAGGCUGCCCCACUUCACAUCCAGCUCUCUGCUAUGGCCUGGGAAAGCAGUGGAAGAUGGCCCAAGUCCUUGGGCCCCUGAACCCACAUGGGAGACCUAGAAGAAGCUCCUGGCUUUGGAUCGAUGCAGCUCCAGCUGUUGCGGCCAUCUGGGAAGUCAACCAGUGGAUGGAAGACCUCUCUCUCUCUCUCUGCUUCUGCCUCUCUGUAACUGCCUUUCAAAUAAAUAAAUAAACCUUAACAUUUUUUUAAAAAAUUAUUACUGGAAAAACCACUUUAAAAAUAAAUAAAAAAUAAAAAAAU